CAGGCUGCUAUGGACUUUCUCUAACGCACAUGCGCCCAAAGAAAGCAAGCUGAAAUUUUUCAGAAAGAUUCUAGAUCACCUUCCACUCACGGGAACGCACAUUCUAAAAGGAAAGGCGCCAAGUUGCCAUUCUGAAUUUGGCAAAAUGCUGAGGUGAAUAAAGAAUGAAAGAAUUUGUGGUACAGAAAGACAGAGAGAGCGUUUUGGUAAGUGGGGAUUUGACGUGAUGAAUUUUGGCUAGAGAAUCAGUCCGCGUUCUGGGGGAUUUAGAGGCGGCAGAGAGAAGAAAGGUUCUUGGAAGAAAAUAUUUUGGGGUUCAGAGAGAGAGGAUUACAGAAAAAGAGGGGUUAAAGACUGAACUGGGCAAGGGACGCUUAGAAGGGAAGGGAACGAGGGAGGAGAAGAUGCCAGUGGGCAAGAAGCUGUUAGAGCAGAACGGAGGAGCAGAGAAGGAAAAAGGACGCCGGCAGAGAGAGAUUUCAGACGACACACCAGUGGAGGUUUUCUUGCUGGAGGGGAGCAUUUCCACGUACGUUUGCUGUAGGCCCCUUCUUCAUCUCCAUUAUCCUAUUUUUAUUCAUCAUUUUCUGUUGGAUUUUAAGUUUCUUCUGGAUGCUUGGGUGUGGAAUGACGGGGACCAUAUAUUUGUUUGCAUUGAUACUAGAUUGCUCAUAUAGUUGUUGUUGUUGAUUUCUUCCUUUGGAGUUCCCUAGUUUUGGUUUGGGACUGUAAGGCUCUGUUUUCCCUAGUUUUGGUUUGGGAUUUUCCUAUUUACUGUGUGUUAUGUGAGGACUUUGGUUGCCUUUGUUUGUUUGAAUCUGCCUAUACUCCUCCCACCAACCUAAGCCCCUCGAAUGAAACAUGAAAUGUUUGCUUCGCUGUGUUUUUUUGGUUUACAUUCUUCAUGCUCUGUUUUCUUGGUUGUCUUCCUCUGUUUUCUGUGGGUAUUUUGGGUGCUUAUGUGCAUCACUAGUUGAUGGUGCUAGAGAAUGGCUUCUAGAUGCUGUUGGAACUUGGUACCCAAGUUUGGAAGAAGAGAGCAGGCUCAGUGGUUUCUGAUAUGACUGCUCUUUCGUGGGAAAGAUUCCUUGGCACCGCUCGAGGCAUGGUUUACCUGAGAAUGGUGAACAUAUGGUUUGGGUGAAAGAUGGGAACUGGCAGGGGGCAUUUUUCUGAUUUUCUGGUGGGUUUUGAGGUUCGUAUAGAGUGGGUUUUGAGGAGUUUUCAAGGUCUUAGGGAGAGAGAGUUGUGAGCUGUCGGGGGUUUUCCAGAUGUUUUGGUGUGAUUUGUUAGAGGGAAGCAGAGCAGAGGUGUGAAGCUUGGCUGGUUUUGCUGAUUUUUGGAGAAGGUGGGCCUCACUUGAAACCAAGCUAACACUGCUUGGGAGGAGGAUCUCCAGGGGGGCUUUGAAGAACUCUACUGGCAACACUGAUGGUGGCAGCAGCUCUGCCAACGGCAAGGUUGAUCAGUUUGGUGCCAAUGAAAGCAGCAGCAUAGGUUCUGGCACAUUUAGGAAUGCAGCAUGGAAAUCUGAUCCGUCACGGGUUUCUGGAAAUUAUGGAACUUAGACUAGUGUACGUCAUGGUGGGCAAGUUGGCUACGAUGGUUGAUAGGGUACUCAGUUUCCUUGGAUUCAGAGUGGCAAGAUAGAAGAGAACAUAUUGUUUGGCAAUGGCAUGGAUAGAGAAAGCUAUGAGAGGGUAAUACAUGUUCCUUGAAGAAGGACCUGGAGGUUUUCUCAUCUGGUGAUCAAACAGUUAUAGGUGAGAGGGGACUCCAUUUGAGUGGUAGUCGGAUGCAAAGAGCACAGGUUGCACGCACACUUUGCCAAAAUGCUGAUAUCCGUUUGAUGAACCCUUUAAUGCUGUGGAUGAUCUGACAGGAACCCAUCUCUUUAAGGAAUGCUUGCUGGGUCUGUUGGGUUCAAAUACAGUGAUUUAUAUUAUGCAUCAAGUGGAGCUCUUACCUGCUGCCGAUCCAAUACUGGCCAUGUACAGGCUUAGGUCACAGAAACGGCUGCAUUUAUCCAGGUUUUGGACUAAAAAACACUUUUGUCACUGUUAGACUUGAAGCUACAUACUGAUAAAGAUAAACUCAUCUUUGAUGUGCCCCGCCCAGACCACAGUUGAGUUUGUUUCAUGUUCACAGGGCACUCAUUUGCUUCCAUCUGAUACUGAUUACAUAGACGAGGACUCAAUUCUUGCCUUACCAGCUGGUGAAGUUCUUGAUUUCUCAUCUGUGAGGUUCAGUGACUCUGCUUCUGCAGAUCCUACCUAUGAAUUACCAGUGAACAAUGAAGACCUCCCAGAGAAUGAUAAGUACAGUUAACUGGCUGAGAACCCUGAGACUCUGGUGAUCACUGAUUUCUGCAGAUUUUUAUACUCUUUUUCCAAUUGUCCUUGGCAAUCAGAAUUAUUUGACUUGGAAGGUAGCUCAUUUUUACCACAAGGUGUCUGCAAAGACCCCGUUGCUUCAACUGAUGAAUGAUGCCCUUAUUGUCGUCCAACAAAAAAAGAGAACCUUUCAAGGUGAACCUCAAGAUUUGCAAGUUAAGUCAAUACUGUCUGUUCAAAAGAAGAUCAGAUUCAUGAUGUUCCUGCUGAAUCUACCGAUGGAUCAGGACUAACUACUAAUGAACCUUCUACUGAUCCUGAGAUUGAAGAAGCUCUGAGAACUGCAGGCCUUUUGUCUGAUUCCCCUCCCAACAGCCCACAUCAGGAAGCUAAAGGUCUCAAUGAUGAAGAUGAUCUCUCAAAGGACAACAGAGAAGGACUUGAUAAUACAUUUGAAAUGGAUUCUCACCUGGAACUGGAUAUAUAUGGUGAUUUUGAGUACGAUUUGGAAGAGUAAUUUUGACAAGGAAUUUGAAGAUAUUGAGGAGUGCCCCACCUGUUACAGUGUGAACAACACCGUGAAUCAUAGCCUUCCUCACUUUGUUCUCAAGGCCUGCAAACACAAGUUCCAUUCAGCUAGCCUGUGCAAGUGGUCCUCCACUUCUCACAAAUCAGCUUGCCCAUUGUGCCAGGCUCCAUUCUGACCUAAAUUGUUCAAGCAAUGAUGCUUCAAUGGAUAUAACAUUCCUUUCGUGGGAAGGAAUACGGGUUGAUGGAGUUAAAUGAGUCACAGUAUAAACUCAUGGCCUAAGCUUCGGUUGGAUUUAAACCUUCUUUGGGUGUAUAUGAACGCUGUUGAAUAAUCAGCCAUAUGAAAACAGAUACACUGAAUGGGGCCUUUGAUGUUAUCUACUGGUGUUUGUGACAUUAAUUUCAAGCUUAAUGAGUUCAUGAAAUAGGAGUCCUUGAAGAAGAAACGUGUUUCCUUUCAAUGUGAACUUGCCUCCAGGCUAUUAUAUGCUUUGAAGAGAAGUUUCUGGACUAAAGACUUAGAGCUGAAACAAGAGGAAUGUUGGUGAGAGCGGCUUCUGAGAUGGCAUCUGAUUCUUUCAUGAAGUAUGUGUUAGCCCGAAAACAAGAUAUAAUUUAAAUUAGUGGCAAUCUUGAAAUGAGCAGGAGUGAUUGGAUUUCACUGCCAAAGACUGAAUUUUAGAGUUAUGAGCCCUAGUUUGAUUCUUUAAGGAGCUAGGAAAUUGAAGAGAAGAUCAGCAAAGUAAGGUGGUGUGCAACACCCAGUGGAUCACUAUUUAUUCUUUCAACAAACAAGACAAUUAAACGUGUGGAACCUGGAAAUCAGUGAUCGAUGUUUUAAUAUCAUGAAACCAUCAAACAGGGAGGAUCUUACUGAGGUGAUAACAGCAUCUGAGUUCCAUCCAAUUCACUGUAAUCUGUUGGCAUAUAGCAGCUCAAGAGGUUCUAUUCAGCUAGUUGACUUGCGGCAAUUGGCAGUAUUUGAUCACAAAGCAAGGAUAUUACAACAUGGAGAGUCCAGUGGGCUUAAAUCUUUUUGACAGAAAUUCUCAUCUAUCUUGGACUUUAAGCUAGCAUCUGAUAAAAAAACAUCAGAAUUUUCACCCUAUUCUACGACCGAUGCAUGCAUGGCAGUAUGCUUGAGAUCAUUGCAGGCCUUCAUCCAAGAAAUGCUGAGGGGGCAACAGAAUGAAGUGUGGCUGUUAGGAGAAAAUGGUUGCGAUAUUCAGCAGUGAGGCCAGGGAUGGCGAAUGAGUAACUCUGGAAGGAGAUGCAAUCAUAUGGAGACGUUUAGUUGAUGCCUUUAGUUGUCUAUUACAGUCUUAUAACCUGGAAAACCGAUGCCUGCAAGGGAGGUAGGAUUCCAGCUUCUUCCUGGUGGCUUCAAUGACAAAAUAGCUGAUGCAUCAACGUCACAAGCUGAACUUCAAUUUGAUCAAGUUUCACCAGAACUAUCUGUGGAAGGCCUUGCCAAAAAUAGUGUUGAUUUGAACAAGGAUCAGUCACUAUAUACUUCAGGCAAGGGCGGGUGAUAAUAAGGACACUUGGGAAAGCUGGGAUACAAUGGGUAAACUGGUUACUGAAAUCAGACACAACAGAAGACUAUUUUUGUUUUCAGGAAAACUCUGCUAAUUCUGGUGAAAUUGAAUGCUAGUGGAUAUGAUGCCAUCCACAUCACAAGAAUUGAGACAAGUUUUGAAUGUGACACUUUCAUUCCCACCUUUGGCACUUCUACAUUUCAUCCAUGUAGAAGAGGUGGGGAUCCAACAGAGAGAGAUGAUGAUCACGACAGUCCAGAAGGUGAUGAUGAUGAUUCUGAGUAUGAAGGUGACAGCACAGAUAUUCAGAUGCUGGAAGCAAUCUUUACAAGGAUGAAGAUGACAGUUCAGGAAUUUAUUGGGAAGUCAGGCUGAAUAGAUUGGACUUGCUAUGAUAUUUGAACAAAUGAAGUUUGAUAUGGGGGUUCAGCUACAGUUCUAGGUGCAGCAAAAGCCGUUGUUCAAAUUAAACCUUCUGGAGUGGAAGUUCAUUUCAUUGUCUCAGCUUAUGAGAAAAUGGUAAGCAGAACAGGCUUAAGGCCUGGAAACGUUGUCAUAGCUUUAAAUGGAAAGACAAUUGAGGCCAAUAACUUGGAGAGGGCAAAGGCCCAUAAAUCCAUUAUGGAAACAGGCAGCCUGGAAAGGGUAUAAUGUGUCUGAUAUCAAACAAUUUGGUGAGUCCGAUAGAGAGAAUGAUGAAGCUGCUGAUGCUGUUGCCUCAAAAUAAGAACAAACUUUGUUGGAGGUGACCUCCAUAAUGAGGUGCUGAAAUGUCCUUAAAUCAAGCACUUCAAGCUUAGUGUUCUCAACCUUUCUCCCAUAGUGGAAUGCCAGAUGAAAUCACCACAAUUGGAAGAAAGCAGGACACUCUGACUUUAAAUAUCGAAGUAUUUCCAGGGGGCUCACCCAAUUGGAUUACAAAUAUCCCAUUCGUAUAUCAGAGAGGUUUUCUUUUGUCAUCCAUCUGAAGAUUCUGAUUCUGUUUGCCUUGCCCAGAUCAAAAAAAUAGAAGAGCAGGGACUGUCAUACCCAGAAAAUCCUGAUAUCCACCUUGAGCAGGUUGUCCAUGUCCUGCUUGAAUCACAGGAAACUAAUAAAAUGCAGGAACAGAAUUUUUGGAAUACUGAAAAACCUCUCAACGUUUGUUCAUACGCUGCUGGGUCCUGACCAUCAUUUCAGGGUGGGGACUUGAUUGUUCUCAAUGGACUUGGCUACUCCAAAACAAUGAAAGGAACUAGUUCAGUCUAGCCAUGGGAUAAUGCUUACUGUUCUGGGAAAAGAUCAGCAGCCUGUGGGCUUUGCUUUAGAUAAUGCUGGUGCAGUUGCAAACGACAAGGUCUUCAUGAUGGAUUUUUCUUUUUUUUUUUCUGCUCCUUUAAUCUGUGAAUUCUCCAAGGAUCCCUGGUCAGAUCAGUCCGGAAAUCAGUACUAACCAAGGGAACAGGCAAGAAACUGCAAUCAGGUAUUAGAACCUUACAGAAAAGAAGAGUUCUACUAGGUCAUUGCAAUCAUAUUGAUGUGCGUUGAGGGUUAUUGAUGCUCUUACAUGAUGCUUCAGGGAGGAAUAUUGAAGCAUUUUGGAUUCAAGGAAACUCAGCCAGCCAGCAAACCAAUAGGCUUAGGAUAUAUGAUGAAGAUCGUGGUUAUCUAAGCUGAAGAGGAUUCUGACUCACCGUAUGGAAGAGCCCAAGGUAUGGGAAGGGCACUAGAAUAUCAAGCACAGCUCAUAGACCAAUAUGGGGCAGAGAAAGAAAACACAAGGAGAGUGGGAAGAGAAAUUCAGAGAGAAUAACAGCAGCACCAACACCAUCAGUAAUGCAGUCUCAGUCACACUCACAGGCCCUUCUCCAGCAUGGCCGGCUUGAUGCACUAUCCUUUUCAUGAUGUUUUUCAUUUUUUGUGUGAAUUUACACGUUUCAAUCAGGUUUUCAAUAUCUUUUCCAUUAAAUCAACUCCAGUUUUCUUUAAAUUUCAUCCUUUGAAAAUUUAAAAACUUGAUUUUAAUAAACUUUUUGCUGCCAAAUUUCUUUCCGGCAUGCAUUUUCUUUGUCUCAUUUAAAAAUUUUCAUGAUUUUAUCAAUUUUUAACAAGCAUGAAAAAAGUUUUAUGAUUUAAAAAAUAAUGGAAUUCAUAAAAUUAAUUCAUGAAAAAAUAAAUUGGGCCUUGGUGGGGGCCCAACAUCCAUGAUAUCACUUUGAUAAUGAUUCAAGUGAGAUGAUUAUUUGAUAUUUGAUCGACUUUGAUCCGUUCUGUAAUAUAUAUGAGAUUGUUUUGUACCUGUUGUUGUGCUAAUCUUGUUUCUCAUUGAAGCGCUAAGCUUGCUACUCAAGUACGUUCUCUAUCCUUCAAUUUCAAAAUUCUAUAAAUAUGUAUGUUGUUGUAAAUUAUAUCCAUGUUUGAUAUUAUCCUUA